CUGAUGCAGCGACGCCGCGUGAGCGAUGAAGCCCUUCGGGGUGUAAAGCUCUUUCGGCAGGGAAGAUUAUGACGGUACCUGCAGAAGCAGCUGCGGCUAACUACGUGCCAGCAGCCGCGGUAAUACGUAGGCAGCAAGCGUUGUUCGGAGUUACUGGGCGUAAAGGGUGUGUAGGCGGUUGCUUAAGUUUGGUGUGAAAUCUCCCGGCUUAACCGGGAGGGUGCGCCGAAUACUGAGUGACUAGAGUGCGGGAGAGGAAAGUGGAAUUCCUGGUGUAGCGGUGAAAUGCGUAGAUAUCAGGAGGAACACCGGUGGUGUAAACGGCUUUCUGGACCGUAACUGACGCUGAAACACGAAAGCGUGGGUAGCAAACCGGAUUAAAUACCCUGGUAGUCAA
rnacentral:rRNA from 1 species